UACGUAGGGUGCAAGCGUUGUCCGGAAUUAUUGGGCGUAAAGAGCGCGCAGGCGGCUUGGUAAGUCGGAUGUGAAAGCCCGGGGCUUAACCCCGGGUCUGCAGUCGAUACGGGCAGGCUAGAGUUCGGUAGGGGAGAUCGGAAUUCCUGGUGUAGCGGUGAAAUGCGCAGAUAUCAGGAGGAACACCGGUGGCGAAGGCGGAUCUCUGGGCGAUACCUGACGCUGGAGGAGCGAAA
rnacentral:rRNA from 1 species